UAGGGAAGUCUUCCACAAUGGGCGGAAAGCCUGAUGGAGCAACGCCGCGUGUGUGAUGAAGGGUUUCGGCUCGUAAACACUGUUGUAAGAGAAGAAUGACAUUGAGAGUAACUGUUCAAUGUGUGACGGUAUCUUACCAGAAAGGAACGGCUAAAUACGUGCCAG
rnacentral:rRNA from 1 species